rnacentral:rRNA from 1 species
CGUUCCCAGGCCUUGUACACACCGCCCGUCACAUCAUGAAAGCCGCUUGUACCCGAAGUCGCCCCUCAAAGGCGCCGAAGGUAUGGGUGGUGAUUGGGAUG